AUUGAACGCUGGCGGCAUGCUUUACACAUGCAAGUCGAACGAUGAAGCCGGAGCUUGCUCUGGUGAAUUAGUGGCGAACGGGUGAGUAACACGUGAGUAACCUGCCCUUGACUCUGGGAUAACUGCGGGAAACUGUAGCUAAUACCGGAUACGACCCUCGGAGGCAUCUCCUGGGGGUGGAAAGAAUUUCGGUCAAGGAUGGACUCGCGGCCUAUCAGCUAGUUGGUGAGGUAAAGGCUCACCAAGGCGACGACGGGUAGCCGGCCUGAGAGGGUGACCGGCCACACUGGGACUGAGACACGGCCCAGACUCCUACGGGAGGCAGCAGUGGGGAAUAUUGCACAAUGGGCGCAAGCCUGAUGCAGCAACGCCGCGUGAGGGAUGACGGCCUUCGGGUUGUAAACCUCUUUUAGCAGGGAAGAAGCGAAAGUGACGGUACCUGCAGAAAAAGCACCGGCUAACUACGUGCCAGCCGCCGCGGUAA
rnacentral:rRNA from 1 species